GCUCUGGUGGGCUAGUGGUUAGAGCGUCCGCCUCCGAUGCGGGAGGUUGUGGGUUCGAACCCCCACCAGGUCA